CUCCUGACCUCGAGUACGGUCCUCCCUCCCCGGCCUCCCAGAGCGCCGGGAUGACUGACAGGCGUGAGCCCCCGUGCCCGGCCUUUACCCGUCCCCCGAGCGCUUUCCCGUCUGGGUACCGGGCCGGGGAAAAGACCCACCUGCCCCUCGCGUGUCUCUCUGUCUCUCUGUCUGUCUCUCUCUGUGUCUCUGCAGAGACAGGGCCGGUGCGACACUUACGCCACGGAGUUCGACCUGGAGGCCGAGGAGUACGUGCCUCUGCCCAAGGGCGACGUGCACAAGAAGAAGGAGAUCAUCCAGGACGUGACCCUCCACGACCUGGACGUGGCCAACGCCCGGCCCCAGGGCGGGCAAGACAUCCUGUCCAUGAUGGGCCAGUUGAUGAAGCCAAAGAAGACAGAGAUCACGGACAAGCUGCGGGGCGAGAUCAACAAGGUGGUGAACAAGUACAUCGACCAGGGCGUGGCGGAGCUGGUCCGGGC